rnacentral:ncRNA from 1 species
UAUAUUUGCAUCUUCAAUUUUUCCGAAAAUCGGAUUGAAUUGAAUACAUAAAAAUCAUUUAAAUAAAUAUUGGCAUG